rnacentral:rRNA from 1 species
AUAAGUUAUGUAAGGGCGUAUGGGGGAUGCCUAGGCUCUCAGAGGCGAAGAAGGACGUGAUAAGCUGCGAAAAGUUGCGGGGAUUGGCACAUACGAUAUGAUCCGCAAAUAUCCGAAUGGGGCAACCCAGUAUAUUGAAGAUAUACUACAUCGCAAGAUGAGCGAACCCGCUGAACUGAAACAUCUAAGUAGGCGGAGGAGAAGAAAACAAAAGUGAUUCCCAGAGUAGUGGCGAGCGAAAUGGGAGGAGCCCAAACCAAUAAUGUUUCGGCAUUAUUGGGGUUGUAGGACUGCGAUAUUUGCUGUUUAUUGAAUUAGAAUACUUUGGAAAGAGUAACCACAGAGGGUGAUAGUCCCGUAUAGGCAAGAUAAAUAAGUAAUAGCAGAAUCCUGAGUAGGGCGGGGCACGUGGAACCCUGUCUGAAUUUGCCGGGACCAUCCGGUAAGGCUAAAUACUCCUGAGAGACCGAUAGUGGACUAGUACCGUGAGGGAAAGGUGAAAAGCACCGUGAAUAACGGAGUGAAAAAGACCCUGAAACCAUACGCUUACAAGCGGUCGGAGCGGCUUAUGCCGUGACGGCGUGCCUUUUGCAUAAUGAGCCUACGAGUUACUGUUACUGGCAAGGAUAAGCACUUAAGGUGCGCAUUCGUAGCGAAAGCGAGUCUGAAUAGGGCGCUGAAGUCAGUAGGAGUAGACGCGAAACCUGGUGAUCUACCCUUGGGCAGGUUGAAGCACUGGUAACACAGUGUGGAGGACCGAACUGGUUGUCGUUGAAAAGACUUCGGAUGACCUGAGGGUAGGGGUGAAAGGCCAAUCAAACUGGGAAAUAGCUCGUACUCCCCGAAAUGCAUUUAGGUGCAGCGUUGUGAGAAAGUUUAAUAGAGGUAGAGCUACUGAUUGGAUGCGGGGGUUUCACCGCCUACCAAUUCCUGACAAACUCCGAAUGCUAUUAAAUGUUUCACAGCAGUGAGGGCUUGGGUGCUAAGGUCCAAGUCCGAGAGGGAAAGAACCCGGACCAUCAGCUAAGGUCCCCAAAUAUAUGCUAAGUUGAAAAAACGCGGUUGAACUGCAUUGACAGCUAGGAUGUUGGCUUGGAAGCAGCCAUACAUUUAAAGAGUGCGUAACAGCUCACUAGUCGAGCGGCUCGGCAUGGAGAAUAAACGGGCAUAAGCAUAUUACCGAAGCUAUGGGGUAUAAGAUACCGGUAGGGGAGCAUUCUAUAGGCGUUGAAGCUAAAGGCGUGAGCCAUAGUGGAGCCUGAUAGAAAAGAAAAUGUAGGCAUAAGUAACGAUAAGGCAGGCGAGAAACCUGCCCGCCGAAAGAUCAAGGUUUCCUCAGCUAUGCUAAUCAGCUGAGGGUUAGUCGGGGACUAACGCGCACCCUUUCAGGGGAAGUGGAUGUACAACUGGUUAAUAUUCCAGUACUAGUAUUUCAAUAAAAGUGACGGAAUGAGAUAUAUGCUGCGCACAGACGGAGUUGCGUUAAAGGUGUUAUUAUGACACUGAUAGUACACUUAGGCUACGGCCGAGGUGAUAAUGCAUAGACAACGUUUCCAAGAAAAGCGAGAGAUACUACCCGUACCGUAAACCGACACAGGUGAUCGGGAAGAGAAUUCUAAGGCGCUCGAGAGAUUCAUGGCUAAGGAACUAGGCAAAAUAGACCUGUAACUUCGGGAGAAAGGUCGCCUAUCGAUAGAUAGGCCGCAGUGAAAAGGUCCAAGCGACUGUUUAUCAAAAACACAGGACUCUGCAAAAUCGAAAGAUGAGGUAUAGGGUCUGACACCUGCCCGGUGCUGGAAGGUUAAGAGGAGGGCUUAGCGUAAGCGAAGGUCUGAAUUGAAGCCCCAGUAAACGGCGGCCGUAACUAUAACGGUCCUAAGGUAGCGAAAUUCCUUGUCGGGU